GAUGAACGCUAGCUACAGGCUUAACACAUGCAAGUCGCAGGGUAACAUGAGGAGAGCUUGCUUUCCUUGAUGACGACUGGCGGACGGGUGAGGAACGCGUAUCCAACCUUCCCAUAACUACGGGAUAACCCGGUGAAAGACGGCCAAAUACCGUAUGACAUCGCGUGCGGACGCCAAAGAACGAUUAACGUUUUAGCGGUGAUGGAUGGGGAUGCGUCUGAUUAGCUUGUUGGCGGGGUAACGGCCCACCAAGGCGACGAUCAGUAGGGGUUCUGGGAGGAAGGUCCCCCACAUUGGAACUGAGACACGGUCCAAACACCUACGGGAGGCAGCAGUGAGGUAUAUUGGUCAAUGGGCGAGUGCCUGAGCCAGCCAAGUAGCGUGCAGGAUGACGGCGCUAUGGAUUGUAAACUGCUUUUGUGUGGGGAGAGAGAGCGUGACGUGUCAUGCAUUGCAGGGACCACAUGAAUAAGGACCGGCUAAUUCCGUG
rnacentral:rRNA from 1 species